CCCUUAGAUGUUCUGGGCUGCACGCGCGCUACACUGAAGCUAUCAACACGUUUUCCCUCCCUGAGAAGGGCGGGUAACCUUUUGAAUCAGCUUCGUGGUAGGGAUCGGGGCUUGCAAUUGUUCCCCGUGAACCAGGAAUUCCUAGUAGACGCGAGUCAUAAGCUCGCAUCGAUUAAGUCCCUGCCCUUUGUACACACCGCCCGUCGCUACUACCGAUUGAACGUUUUAGUGAGGCAUUUGGACCGACGCAUCUCAGUUUAACCGCUGGUUUGUGUUGGAAAGACUUCCAAACUUGAGCGUUUAGAGGAAGUAAAAGUCGUUACA
rnacentral:rRNA from 1 species